rnacentral:rRNA from 1 species
GCCGGUGUUAAACCGGAGGAAGGUGGGGAUGACGUCAAGUCCUCAUGGCCCUUAUGUCCAGGGCUACACACGUGCUACAAUGGCCGGUACAAAGGGCUGCAAUACGCAAGGUGGAGCGAACCCCAAAAGCCGGUCUCAGUUCGGAUUGGAGUCUGCAACUCGACUCCAUGAAGUUGGAAUCGCUAGUAAUCGCGGAUCAGCACGCCGCGGUGAAUACGUUCCCGGGCCUU